rnacentral:rRNA from 1 species
GGCGGCAUGCCUAACACAUGCAAGUCGAACGAGACCUUCGGGUCUAGUGGCGCACGGGUGCGUAACGCGUGGGAAUCUGCCCUUAGGUUCGGAAUAACAGUUAGAAAUGACUGCUAAUACCGGAUAAUGUCUUCGGACCAAAGAUUUAUUGCCUAAGGAUGAGCCCGCGUAAGAUUAGCUUGUUGGUGAGGUAAAGGCUCACCAAGGCGACGAUCUUUAGCUGGUCUGAGAGGAUGAUCAGCCACACUGGGACUGAGACACGGCCCAGACUCCUACGGGAGGCAGCAGUGGGGAAUAUUGGACAAUGGGCGAAAGCCUGAUCCAGCAAUGCCGCGUGAGUGAUGAAGGCCUUAGGGUUGUAAAGCUCUUUUACCCGGGAUGAUAAUGACAGUACCGGGAGAAUAAGCCCCGGCUAACUCCGUGCCAGCAGCCGCGGUAAUACGGAGGGGGCUAGCGUUGUUCGGAAUUACUGGGCGUAAAGCGUACGUAGGCGGCUUUGUAAGUUAGAGGUGAAAGCCCGGAGCUCAACUCCGGAAUUGCCUUUAAGACUGCAUCGCUUGAAUCAUGGAGA